GGCAUAGCUCAGUUGGUAGAGCAUGAGACUCUUAAUCUCAGAGUGGUGGGUUCGAAUCCCAUGUUAACACCA